rnacentral:rRNA from 1 species
AACGAACGCUGGCGGCAGGCUUAACACAUGCAAGUCGAACGCAUCCUUCGGGGUGAGUGGCAGACGGGUGAGUAACGCGUGGGAACGUGCCCUUCAGUUCGGGAUAACCCAGGGAAACUUGGGCUAAUACCGGAUACGUGCGAGAACAGAAAGAUUCAUCGCUGAAGGAUCGGCCCGCGUCGGAUUAGCUAGUUGGUGGGGUAAUGGCCCACCAAGGCGACGAUCAGUAGCUGGUGUGUGAGGAUGAUCAGCCACAUUGGGACUGAGACACGGCCCAACCUCCUACGGGAGGCAGCAGUGGGGAAUAUUGGACAAUGGGCGCAAGCCUGAUCCAGCCAUGCCGCGUGAGUGAUGAAAGCCUUAGGGUUGUAAAGCUCUUUCGUCCGGGACGAUAAUGACGGUACCGGAAGAAGAAGCCCCGGCUAACUUCGUGCCAGCAGCCGCGGUAA